rnacentral:rRNA from 1 species
GCACGGAGUUAGCCGGGCUUCUUCUCCCGCUACCGUCAUCAUCUUCACGGGUGAAAGUGCUUUACAACCGAAGGCCUUCUUCACACACGCGGCAUUGCUGGAUCAGGGUUGCCCCCAUUGUCCAAUAUUCCCC